AGUCUUUCUUAUUCCCUCUGUUGUCAGUUCAGGGCAAGGCCAGGAGGGAGGAACCUUAGAUUCUAGUCUGGACUUCUUUACUUAAAUGGGGGCCAGAUCUUUAGCCUUCUAGAAUCUUCUUGGAAAGUACAGGUAUUUGCUUGGCCUCCCUCAGCAAUCAGGUUGGCCGGCAUCGUGAGGUCAGCACAGUGCAAAGGGAGUGUUUUCUGUGGAAGAUUCAGAGUCUCCCUCUGAGGGAAGCCGGGCAUGCACCCAGGGAAGGAGGCUUCGCACAGGGAUACUUUUGAGACUGAUGCAAAAUCCUAAGCAGUGGCGUUCCCGUGACUCAGCUGGUGGGCGGAAGUGAUUUUAAAUAAUGACAGUAUCACCAUCUCCCCACUCCUACGGUGUCACACAUCACCAAAUGCGUGCUCACUGGCCCUGAACACCCUGACUCAGCCAGUGUGCACGGGGUUGAAGAGAACAAAGGGAAGGUGUAUGUAGCAGGAGGUCCUAUACACGAGUCCACAGAGGGACUCUUAAAUCCUGUUCACAGCAGUCUGUUCCUGGUGGCAGAAAUCUGGAAACGGCCCGAGCACACUUGCUGAGAGGAGAAUGGAUGAAUGAAUUGCACACCCAUAGAGCAGAGUACUACUCUGCCAUUAAAAUAAAUGAGCAGCAUGCGGAAACAGCAUUGGGGACUCUCCAAAACAGCAUGUUGCUCUAAAGAAGCCAGACACAAAGACUGCACACUGUGAUCUACCAAGGCAAAUGAACCCACAGCAGAGGAAGUGGCUUGGUGGCUGCUGCCUGCCACGGGAACAGGAGACGUCGACGGCAGUGGGAGGGACCCAUCUGUGAGAUGAAGGCGAGGUCUGGUUCACAUGGUGGCACCAGGGAGAUGCUCCGGUGACACACAGUGCAAAGCUUGCCCCAGGGUAACCCCUUGUCCAUCCCUGGGCUUUGUCAAGAUGCAGCCAGAGGCUGGUUCACAAGAAGCAAUUGGUGGCUUCACGCAGCUCCCUGGGGAAAGCCCUCACUGCCGGAAUCACGUGCAGCCCCCAGUCACGGGUCUGUGGUGCGUCACGAUCAUGAGUCUGCGGGGAUGAGAGCUCCGUGAUUCACACAUGUCAAGGUUGAUGAGGAUACUGAGGAGUCGCCUCCUCAGGGGGAUAAUAGAAAACAACGUCUCUAAAUAGUUCAUUUCUUUCAAGAGAUGUCACAUCAGCUCACUGUCGAAGCGUUGAUUCAUUUCAGGGUUUUGUAUUUGGUUAAGGACAAAAAGAAAAAAAUCUCCUUGGCAAAGACAGUGAAGGGCUGAGGGGAAGCAGCAGAUUCUUGUCAGUGUUUGGGAAACGCAGAGGGAAACCUUGCUUCUUUUCCCUGCUUCCUGCUUCCAAGGACAAUGGUGAACCAGCCCCAAUUGGAUGUGGGAGACCUCUAAGAGCAACAGUGUGAAGAGACCAGCUCCUCUUUCGGCAGCCAUAACAGCCGAACACAUGCUUUUCUGACCUUGUCCUAGACACUAGAAAGUUAGAUGCCUGCCUCGUGACAAGGAACCAAUCAGAGGUUAGCUGGUGGCGCUAUGCUUUACGGCUCUGGGUGUGCUUUAUGGACAAGUGCACAGCAAUGACGCACAGAGCAUAGCAACCACCCCAGGAGGGCCUAUGGGCCAUAACAACCAGUUGGCCAAUCAACACAGGGCAACCCUCCAAGCCUGGAGACACACCAAUCCUGAGCCUGUGCGUACCCCUAGACACUCCCCUUAUGCUGCCCUACAAGAUCUCUUGGGAGCCCCUAGGAGCUGUCUUUUGCAAGCCAUCCGCCAUGGUGGGUGGGUGAAAGACCCGAGCUAACAUGGGGUUAGCUCGUUAAAUUACAAUAAAGCCUCGUGCAGUUUGCAGCAAGCUCUCAAAUCCGCCUGGUGAUUGGGGUGACCGUGGUCAUGGCCUGGGAUCCCGGAUACCUGAGUUUUCCGG
rnacentral:lncRNA from 1 species